CCUACGGGAGGCAGCAGUGGGGAAUAUUGCACAAUGGGGGAAACCCUGAUGCAGCGACGCCGCGUGAAGGAAGAAGUAUCUCGGUAUGUAAACUUCUAUCAGCAGGGAAGAAAAUGACGGUACCUGACUAAGAAGCCCCGGCUAACUACGUGCCAGCAGCCGCGGUAAUACGUAGGGGGCGAGCGUUAUCCGGAUUCAUUGGGCGUAAAGCGCGCGUAGGCGGCCCGGCAGGCCGGGGGUCGAAGCGGGGGGCUCAACCCCCCGAAGCCCCCGGAACCUCCGCGGCUUGGGUCCGGUAGGGGAGGGUGGAACACCCGGUGUAGCGGUGGAAUGCGCAGAUAUCGGGUGGAACACCGGUGGCGAAGGCGGCCCUCUGGGCCGAGACCGACGCUGAGGCGCGAAAGCUGGGGGAGCGAACAGGAUU
rnacentral:rRNA from 1 species